rnacentral:rRNA from 1 species
CCUACGGGUGGCAGCAGUGAGGAAUAUUGGUCAAUGGACGCGAGCCUGAACCAGCCAUGUCGCGUGAAUGAUGACUGUCCUACGAGUUGUAAGCUUCUUUUAUAAAGACAUAAAGUGCGGCACGUGUGCCUUUUUGUCUGUACUUUAUGAAUAAGGAUCGGCUAACUCCGUGCCUGCGGCCGCGGUCAUACGGAGGAUCCGAGCGUUAUCCGGAUUUAUUGGGUUUAAGGGGAGCGUAGAUGGGUUGUGAAGUAAGUUGUGAAAGUUUGCGGCUCAACCGUAAAAUUGCAAUUGAUACUGGCAGUCUUGAGUACAGGUGAGGUAGGCGGAAUUCGUGGUGUAGCGGUGAAAUGCUUAGAUAUCACGAAGAACACCGAUUGCGAAGGCAGCUUACUAAACUGCCACUGACAUUGAGGCUCGAAAGUGUGGGUAUCAAACAGGAUUAGAUACCCGUGUAGUC